ACAAGCACACACGCCGCAGCCUUCUCCCUGUGCAGACCAAGGGUUGGGAUUUUCAGACGCAUCCACAUCUCCUGUCAUCUAUUCCCAAAGGCUAAAAUGGAGUUUAAUAAGGUUUUCAUUGGUGUUUUUCACGUUUAAGGUACAGAAGAGGGGUCAAACUACCACCAGGGUCAUAAAUGUACCUCUGGAAGUGCCCAAUACCCCUUCAAAAGCCCUGUCAAAUGUGAGUGUGUGAGCGGCGAAGCGUUUGAGAAUAUGGUUCCAAGACUCUCCAGCCCACACACACGUCAUCAUUCUCGGCAGGCAAAAGUGGUUCAACUACAGAUGACAGGAGGCACCUAAAAAAAACAGUGUGAGAAGGUACAACAGCACUGCCUGGGACCAAUAUAAAAAGAUGCUCUUUUGUUCCCAGCAUGGAAUCAUCAGUCAAUGGGAGUAUGUUCUGCAGGGUGCACUGCCCUUCAUACUCUGAUGCCAUCCCGACAGGUCCCUCCAAACAAGUCUCCAUGCAGACCAUCUUUCCAAGUAACUCGUGACAAGAUCCAUCAACUUGCUAGGCUUUGUGGGCAUCCCCUUGGUCUCGGGUUGCCUAGCGGGUGGGUAAGCUUGGAGGGAACCCGCUACCCGCGUCCGCUAUGGCCACUCGUAUUAGAUAACGUGUUUGUUCUUGCCGCUGACCUGUUAGGCAACCCGCUACCCUCUACCCUCCCGGCAAACCGCAUGCAGUGUGGCCGCACCCUUACAGACACUACCCUGUUGACUCUUGGGUACCAUGUCACAUGCCCAUAUAGCUUAAGUUAGUGUCAAUGGACUAUACAGAUAAUAAUAGGCCUCUCAGUUCACUCCCAGAGUAAUUAUCAACUUGACGAAAAGUAAUUCCAGCUAGACAAUUAUUAUCAAAGACAUCAUUUGCCUCUUAAGUGCCUGGGUCAAUAAAAA